UAGGAUACACAAAGACAUGGCUCCCCGUUCUUUGGUAACCUCACAUCAAAUCGCUACCAAACACGUCUCCAGUCUUCAAAAUAAUUUAGUUAUUAGAAAGGUGAUUGGACAAACCAGCAAAGAUUUUUUUUCACUAACAAAAAGCAAAUCAGAACAGAGUUAGUCUUUUUCUCCAGUUACCCAGCAUUCAAAGCUCUAACUGUAGUCACAUUGUAAUAAUUUUAGACCCCAAAGCAGUGUGACCAUUUGAUGCAUAAUUUUCAACACAUGUUUUAUUAAUCCAUUCUUCCUGAGCUUCAUUUAAAAUACUGGAAACUAUAAAAAGAUCAGUGUGUUACUCCCCUGCCAGGGAAAAAAAAAAAAAAGAAAAGAAAUGAAAAAAAACUAAACACGAAAAAAGCCAGAGCAACUGGAAUCUCCGUCUUGAGGAAACACAUGGGAUUGAAGCAUCCGCCGGAGCUCUGUCACCGACUGUCAUCUGUGACUCUUCGGUGCUGAAGUCUAGAUGUCACCAGGCUGGGACGAGAAGGCGUGCGUGCAGGCGAGCUUCAGCACAGAGGGCAAUAACAAGGCAGUAUUUCUCCAGCUGUAGCCCACCGGCCACCUGUAUGGAGAGUGCCAGCGGUACGUGGUCAGAAGGCAUGUUCUUAGACCCCACUUCGAAGUGCCGACUCAGAAUGUCCUGGGCUGGGGCCUGGAAAUCAGCCCAUAUGGAAUUCCAAUGUACACUUAGUACACGGGCCUCUCACUGUUGUGGCCUCUCCUGUUGCAGAGCACAGGCUCCGGACGCGCAGGCUCAGCGGCCAUGGCUCACGGGCCUAGCUGCUCCGCGGCAUGUGGGAUCUUCCCGGACCGGGGCACGAACCCGCGUCCCCUGCAUCGGCAGGCGGACUCUCAACCACUGCGCCACCAGGGAAGCCCAGGGAUCUACUUUUGAAUCAAGAAGAAUUACCUUUUAGUGCAGGAACAAACUCUUGAGAUGGGAAAAAAGGUGAAAUGAGUCAUGGGCUCCUUACACAUCUGUUAGCUGCAAUUCUCCUCAGUGGGGUAGGAGAUGUGGUCACUGCUAAGAGGCCAGAGGAUGUGAAAGUAGCAACUUGAUCUCAGUAACUUUACAGAUAUAUCUCAUGGUGCUAAGCCAUAAUGGUAUUAUAUAUAAAUGGUUAUGAGGACUUGACCAACACAUAAAAAUAAAAUAUUCAAGGCUGUGACAUUGCUGCAGACAUGUCUCUCUUGGACCAGAAAUAGGGAUGCAAGGCCAGAGGAGGAGGUUCCAAGAUCAAGGAUGUGAAAGUAGCUGGGACAGAAGGUGAGAUCCCCUCUGAAUAUGCACAUCAGACUGUCAUAGAGACUGAUUCUUUUUUGGUGUAGGC